UACGAAGGGGGCUAGCGUUGCUCGGAAUCACUGGGCGUAAAGCGCACGUAGGCGGACGCUUAAGUCGGUGGUGAAAUCCUGGAGCUCAACUCCAGAACUGCCUUCGAUACUGAGAGUCUCGAGUCCGGGAGAGGUGAGUGGAACUGCGAGUGUAGAGGUGAAAUUCGUAGAUAUUCGCAAGAACACCAGUGGCGAAGGCGGCUUACUGGCCCGGUACUGACGCUGAGGUGCGAAAGCGUGGGGAGCAAACAGG
rnacentral:rRNA from 1 species